rnacentral:rRNA from 1 species
UGGGGAAUAUUGCACAAUGGGGGGAACCCUGAUGCAGCGACGCCGCGUGAGCGAAGAAGUAUCUCGGUAUGUAAAGCUCUAUCAGCAGGGAAGAAAGUGACGGUACCUGACUAAGAAGCCCCGGCUAACUACGUGCCAGCAGCCGCGGUAAUACGUAGGGGGCAAGCGUUAUCCGGAUUUACUGGGUGUAAAGGGAGCGCAGGCGGCGCGGCAAGUCUGGUGUGAAAGCCCGGGGCCCAACCCCGGGACUGCAUUGGAAACUGUCGGGCUGGAGUGUCGGAGGGGCAAGUGGAAUUCCUAGUGUAGCGGUGAAAUGCGUAGAUAUUAGGAGGAACACCAGUGGCGAAGGCGGCUUGCUGGACGACAACUGACGCUGAGGCUCGAAAGCGUGGGGAGCAAACAGG